AUUGAACGCUGGCGGCAGGCCUAACACAUGCAAGUCGAACGAGUGGCGGACGGGUGAGUAAUGUCUGGGAAACUGCCCGAUGGAGGGGGAUAACUACCGGAAACGGUAGCUAAUACCGCAUACCAUCGGAGGUGCCCAGAUGGGAUUAGCUAGGAGGUGGGGUAAUGGCUCACCGAGGCGACGAACCCUAGCUGGUAUGAGAGGAUGACCAGCCAGACUGUAACUGAGACACGGUCCAUACUCCUACGGGAGGCAGCAGUGGGGAAUAUUGCACAAUGGGCGCAAGCCUGAUGCAGCCAUGCCGCGUGUAUGAAGAAGGCCUUCGGGUUGUAAAGUACUUUCAGCGAGGAGGCGUUACUCGCAGAAGAAGCACCGGCUAACUCCGUGCCAGCAGCCGCGGUAAUAC
rnacentral:rRNA from 1 species